rnacentral:rRNA from 1 species
UACGUAGGUGGCAAACGUUGUCCGGAUUUAUUGGGUUUAAAGGGUGCGUAGGCGGUCUAUUAAGUCAGUGCUGAAAUAUCCCGGCUUAACCGGGGAGGGUGGCAUUGAUACUGAUGGACUUGAGUAAGGUUGAGGUAGGCGGAAUUGACGGUGUAGCGGUGAAAUGCUUAGAUAUCGUCAAGAACACCGAUAGUGUAGACAGCUUACUAGCUUUAACUGACGCUGAGGCACGAAAGUGUGGGGAUCAAACAGG